GGGGGGGGGGUUGACUAUCAGGAUGUGAGUGUACAGACUAUGGGAGGCAGUGCUGGGAUGGCCACUGUAUCACAUGAUGAAAAGACAAAA